rnacentral:snRNA from 1 species
AUACUUACCUAGCAGGGAAGAUACCAUGAUCACAAGGGUGGUUCUCUUAAGGUGAGUCUCAUCCACUAUGCUCAGGUCAUUCUGACCCCAGUGAUUUCCCCAAACGUGGGAAACUGGACUGCAACUUCUGUUGGUGAGGGACUGCAUUCCCAGU